UUUCCGAAGUUGCAAAACAAC
rnacentral:piRNA from 1 species